rnacentral:rRNA from 1 species
AGUCUGACGGAGCAACGCCGCGUGAGUGAUGAAGGUUUUCGGAUCGUAAAGCUCUGUUGUUAGGGAAGAACAAGUGCGAGAGUAACUGCUCGCACCUUGACGGUACCUAACCAGAAAGCCACGGCUAACUACGUGCCAGCAGCCGCGGUAAUACGUAGGUGGCAAGCGUUGUCCGGAAUUAUUGGGCGUAAAGGGCUCGCAGGCGGUUUCUUAAGUCUGAUGUGAAAGCCCCCGGCUCAACCGGGGAGGGUCAUUGGAAACUGGGAAACUUGAGUGCAGAAGAGGAGAGUGGAAUUCCACGUGUAGCGGUGAAAUGCGUAGAGAUGUGGAGGAACACCAGUGGCGAAGGCGACUCUCUGGUCUGUAACUGACGCUGAGGAGCGAAAGCGUGGGGAGCGAACAGGAUUAGAUACCCUGGUAGUCCACGCCGUAAACGAUGAGUGCUAAGUGUUAGGGGGUUUCCGCCCCUUAGUGCUGCAGCUAACGCAUUAAGCACUCCGCCUGGGGAGUACGGUCGCAAGACUGAAACUCAAAGGAAUUGACGG